rnacentral:rRNA from 1 species
GACAGAGGGUGCAAACGUUGUUCGGAAUUAUGGUGCGUAAAGCGCGACGUAGGCGGCCUAGUGCAAGUCGGAUGUGAAAUCCCACGGCUUAACCAAGGAACGUGCAUCCGAAACUGCAGUGCUUGAGUACUUAAGAGGAUCGCGGAAUUCCCGGGUGUAGGAGGUGAAAUUCGUAGAUAUCGGGAGGAACACCAGUGGCGAAGGCGGCGGAUCGUGGGAAGAUACUGACGCUGAGGUCGCGGAAAGCGUGGGGGAG